AGCUCAAGUCAAGCUUCUGUUUAAAUCUAUUGGGAAGCAGGAUAAGAUAAUAUCGAGAUCGCUUGAAGCUACGCAACAGAUAAAAAAGAUACAAAUGAAGACGAUGGACACCACAAUAACAACAAAGCUUGGACCAAAAGAAUCCACAAGUAUCAGCAGUAAGUGUGCUGAUGUGGAUAAUGAUAUGCUGAUG